ACGGAAGGCAGCAGUGGGGAAUAUUGGGCAAUGGGCGAAAGCCUGACCCAGCAACGCCGUGUGAAGGAAGAAGGUCUUCGGAUUGUAAACUUCUUUUAUGAGGGACGAAGGACGUGACGGUACCUCAUGAAUAAGCCACGGCUAACUACGUGCCAGCAGCCGCGGUAAUACGUAGGUGGCAAGCGUUAUCCGGAUUUACUGGGUGUAAAGGGCGCGUAGGCGGGGAGACAAGUCAGGUGUGAAAUCUAGGGGCUUAACCCAUAAACUGCAUUUGAAACUGUAUCUCUUGAGUGCUGGAGAGGUAGAUGGAAUUCCUUGUGUAGCGGUGAAAUGCGUAGAUAUAAGGAAGAACACCAGUAGCGAAGGCGAUCUACUGGACAGUAACUGACGCUGAGGCGCGAAAGCGUGGGGAGCAAACAGGAUUAGAUACCCUGGAA
rnacentral:rRNA from 1 species